AAAAAAGAAAAAGAAAAAAAGAAAGCAAAACAAAAGAAGCGGGAAAACCCAAACAAAAGCUUCACAUUGCCGGAGAUCCAGCUGUCGGGAGAUCGCCAACCGGCCAAGCCACCACCUGUACCCUCUGCCGUCCUCUGUAGGAGACGUGGUGAGACUGUGGGUCCCGAGGAAUCGACCUGGAAGACAGAAAGUGGGAAAAAUAGGGUACUUCAAAGAGCAAGAAAAGCCGGCAGCUCCAAUAGAAAGGUCCAGAUGUGGGGUCUCGUCUGGAUUCUUCCAUGCCCAGUGGACAAAGGAAAGCUUCCACACUGCCAAACGGGAGACACAGCAGAUCAACCUGAAGAUGGGGGAAGAGGGUAAAUAGGGUAGGCCCUUACCAUCUGAAACAUUAAGAGCAACGACGAGAAAUUAUACAGCCACAUGUGAUGUGCUAAAAUAAUCUUUGGGACCAGUUAUGACUUUCCGGCAUUCCUUUCCUCCCUCCCUGCGGACGAUCUCCUGAAAAGGAUGUCCAUCAGCAGGAAAGUAGCACGUGGCAGCUAAAAAGCAGUGUUGGCAAGGAGGCAGGUUCAGAAACCAGAGGUUCCUUUUUACAUAAUAAACUAGCAGAACACAGUGUGACUGCAGAAGGUCAGACCAACAGCACAGCACUCUGCAAGAACUCCUCAGACACCAGCUUGUAAUGACCACUGUAAUCACUGGGUCCCACGCCAGGAAGUGAAGCUGACAUUUCCCAAAGGCUCCUCCCUGCUCCCUCUAGCCCUGGCGCUGGCUCUGGUCCUCCUGUUGGAAGCCUCAGAACAGCCUACAGGUCUGAGUCUGGUUCGCUCUUGUGGGCACAAAGAAGGAAAAGAAGAGGGCUCUCCACUGGGGAGAGGAUCUUGGCUUGGGGUUCUUUUCCCGUCGGCCACCACAGAAAGAGCACUUUUCCCAGGGAGCUAACAGCACAGUAAGCUCACCGAAGGUAAUGGAGGCGCUUUCUGUAGCUAUGAACAGGAAUGGCUCAGACCACACGGUUCUGAGUUUAAGCAGCAGACCCUCCCAGGUACCUGUGGGCACAAUAAAGGGUGUAGGUCUCAGUCCCAGUGGGCCCUUGGAGAGGCCUUAGGCUUGUGGUGCUUCAUCCUAGCAGAUGCCACAUCUCAGCUCCCUCACCGCUCAGGCUGUGCCUGACUGCCAGGCUACCAGCUUCCACCGGGGCUCUUAUCCCUCUCUGUGGAACCCCUAUCUCGGACCAGAGCCCGCUCCUUGAGGGCAAAAGUCACACCUGCUAAGCAUAAUGAAAAGCGGUGAUGUGAUAAACCUGCAACUGACAUCUGUAGUGCCCUUCCAUGAUUACUGUGAGGAGGGAUUUGGCCAGUUUUCACAAGAAAACAGGCCCAGAGAGAUGGAGCAACUUGCCCCACACCAGAGUUGCUGAGCAGUAGAACCAGCACUUAAUCCAAAGUUUUCCAGCUUCGCUACCCAAAGUUUCUGCACUAUGACAGUCUUCAAUCAGUGCUUCCAAAGCCGGCUCAGCAAUGGUUCCAACAGCUUGCAUCUGAGAUGAUCCUGGGGGUGGAAGGUGCCAAUGAUCUGGGAAAACGUGCUAUGAAUCCUUACCUUUCUCAUUUCAGCUCUUGGACCAAGUUCUCUCAGUGCAUCCCACCUUCUUAUUUCUAACUGGCAUAACAGCAAUCACUUACUGAGCAGUCUGUAUGUGCAAGUUCUAACUACAUUAUAGGGAACAACCUUGUAAAGUCACACUGCUUUCCAAUCACUGUCAAAGGAUCGAGUGUUUUAUCCAUUGCCUCAUUUCACCCCGGCAACCCUAAGAGGUAGGGGUUAUUGUCCCCCUAGUCUUAGAGAUGAGAAAACUGAAGCUCAAGAGAGAACAGCCUCAUAGCCAGUAAGUGGUAGAGAAAAAGGUUUAACUCAGGGCAGUCUCACUCCAAAGCCCCUGCUUUUCACAUGUAACGAUGUAAAAUCCCUUCCUAGAGAAGACAAGAAGAGCUUAAGUGGAGUUUAAAACCCAUCUAAUCCCUUCAUUUAUAAAUAGACUCACUCAGAAAAAGGCUCAUGGAAGGCUUACGUGCCGGUACACAGGUCUAGUGCUCGGGGGACAAAGGGGGACAUGGUGCCAAUGAGGCAGUGAACAGUCUUCCAGCAAGCUCCUCUGCCAGUCAGGCAGGUGUCUGGUCUGUUUAAGGAGACUGAGAAACUACCCUCACGAAGGCCAUUAGCAGCUUGGAGAGCAGAAGCCUGGGAGAUCUGAGGGGAACAUGCACAGGAGGAUGGGGCUGGAGACAAGGAUGGCUCAUGUGUUCACCUCCUUCCCCUACUCCUCAGCCUGCAGGCACAGAAUACCUUGGUGAUUAUCCCUUACUCUAAAAGGAUGACCUUCCUACUUUAUUAGUGUCAAAAUGUCAUUACCUUUUGCUUUCUUUUCUAAGACACAGGGUCUCACUCUUUCAUCUAAGUUGGAGUACAGUGGCGC